AUAGGGUUAGUGUAAUUGGUAGCACACCAGUCUCCAAAACUGGGAGAGCAGGUUCAAGUCCUGUGCCCUGUGCCA
rnacentral:tRNA from 1 species